AGGAGAGUUUGAUCCUGGCUCAGGAUGAACGCUGUGCGGCGUGCUUAACACAUGCAAGUCGAACGAAGCAACUUAUUACGAUCCCUUCGGGGUGACGAUUUGUUGACUGAGUGGCGGACGGGUGAGUAACGCGUGGGUAACCUGCCUUGUACAGGGGGACAACAGUUGGAAACGACUGCUAAUACCGCAUAAGCGCACAGCUUCGCAUGAAGCAGUGUGAAAAGUUAUUUCGGUACAAGAUGGACCCGCGUCUGAUUAGCUAGUUGGUGAGGUAACGGCCCACCAAGGCGACGAUCAGUAGCCGACCUGAGAGGGUGACCGGCCACAUUGGGACUGAGACACGGCCCAAACUCCUACGGGAGGCAGCAGUGGGGAAUAUUGCACAAUGGGCGAAAGCCUGAUGCAGCGACGCCGCGUGAGCGAAGAAGUAUUUCGGUAUGUAAAGCUCUAUCAGCAGGGAAGAUAAUGACGGUACCUGACUAAGAAGCACCGGCUAAAUACGUGCCAGCAGCCGCGGUAAUACGUAUGGUGCAAGCGUUAUCCGGAUUUACUGGGUGUAAAGGGAGCGUAGGCGGUUUUACAAGUCUGAUGUGAAAGCCCGGGGCUCAACUCCGGUAUUGCAUUGGAAACUGUAGAACUAGAGUGUCGGAGGGGUAAGUGGAAUUCCUAGUGUAGCGGUGAAAUGCGUAGAUAUUAGGAGGAACACCAGUGGCGAAGGCGGCUUACUGGACGAUUACUGACGCUGAGGCUCGAAAGCGUGGGGAGCAAACAGGAUUAGAUACCCUGGUAGUCCCCU
rnacentral:rRNA from 1 species